GUGAGGAAGAUGCUCUCAGGGAAACAAGAAGUUCCCAUAAGAAAUCUGCAGCUAAAGCAGGAUGGUUACACCGUGGAGCGUGGCAGCUAUUGAGCAGUGUCAUGUGGGAGACCAAAUAAAGGUUUCUCAUGUAAAGGUGAAACAGUCUACCUAUGGAGUAGAGCUGCACACAACAUCUUUAACAAAGAUUGGGACAAAAGAAGAAGACCGACUGAGGUGCCUGUAUUGGCAUUGCCAGUGCUGACAUGUCCAACCAGAUGGAGCUACUGUUAGAAAGUGGAGAAACCCUGCAUAUUGAAACAGAUGUGGAGGCCAUUUGAUAAAGAUCUGGAAAAGGCCAUGGUUAGUGUUUAGAUAAAAGUCAAAGGCAAGCAUAUUACUGAAAUAGAAAACAACAGAUUGUCAGUAGUGAAAGAAAAGCAUUUGUGAUUUGUGUGUGUUGUUAAGUGUUCUGUAAAUGUAAAUCUACGGUAAUGAUAGAUCACACAUUACAAAAAGUUUACAACGGUUUGAAAAAGUUAUAGUUUAAACAGGUUUUAAAAGUGUAUUGUUUAUAUGAACAAAAUAUUAAUAAAGAGUUGUAAAUACAUACAACAGUGUUGUGAUUAUGAAAUGAAACUGAAAAGCAUGGUUAAUACGACAUGUUUUAAGGAACAUUUCUACUCCAGGUUGUGUACAUAUUUACAAAUGUCAUC